GGUAAACUGUUUUGAUAUACUCAAGGAUAACUGGAGUCCAGUACUUACUAUAUCCAAGGUGCUGUUGAGUAUCUGCUCUCUGCUGAGUGAUUGUAAUCCCGCGGAUCCCCUGGUUGGGAGUAUUGCAACCCAGUACCUCGCUAACAGAGAGGAACAUGAUAAGAUUGCUAAACUCUGGACCCAGAGAUACGCCACGGCGUCGUAGAUUUAUCCCCGGCGCCAGCAACCGACGACGUACAAGUAGAUUUCACGGAUUUCCUCGCAUCACGGAGUUCCCGGAUUUUCUGACAAACUUUCUCAUUAAUCAUCAUUUUUUUUUGACAGGGUUUAAUUGAUUCAAAUUUAAACCUAUUAGAUCUAAAAAUACAAAAAUGUCAAUGAUAUGAAAUACUUAAUUUUUAAAAACUAGGAAUUAGAUAUUUUGAACCUCUAAAUGUUUAAGGAUUCAUCAAUUGUAUUCUAUUAGUAACCAACAAAUUACUUUUUUCAAUUCAUUGUGUACCGUACCGUACCCAGACCAUAAUCCUUUGUACUCUUGAACCUUUCCCUUGUAUGUAAUGUAUAUUAAUCAUAAUCCUUGUGCAACUGUGGCUCAAAUUAGUUUGUUCAGUUCACCAAUAAUUUUAAUCACCAAUAACAAAUAUAUUAGAUGCUGGAAAGUGUUCAAUAAUUAUUAUCCCACGUGCCAUUUUUACUCAUGCAUUCAUUAAUUUCAAACAUUAAACAACAUUUUUUUUCUUCAAAAUCGUCAUAUUUAGUUAGUGUAUUAUUGGUGUGGUAUCUCUCUCAGUAUUUAAAGAUUUUUUUAGAAAA